AUUGAACGCUGGCGGCAGGCUUAACACAUGCAAGUCGAGCGAGCGGCGGACGUGUGAGUAAUGUCUGGGACACGGCCUGAUGGGGGGGGAUACCAACUGGAAACGUUAGCUAAUCCCGCAUACCAUCAGAUGUGCCCAGAUGGGAUUAGCUAGUAGGUGGGGUAAUGGCUCACCUGGGCGACGACCCCAAGCUGUUCUGAGAGGAUGACCAGCCAAAUGGGAACUGAGACACGGUCAAGACUCCUACGGGAGGCAGCAGUGGGGAAUAUUGCACAAUGGGCGCAAGCCGGAUGCAGCCAUGCCGCGUGUGUGAAGAAGGCCUUCGGGUUGUAAAGCACUUUCAGCGAGGAGGCGUUACUUGAAGAAGAAGCACCGGCUAACUCCGUGCCAGCAGCCGCGGUAAUUC
rnacentral:rRNA from 1 species